GAUGGUUUUCCUGGACAAUCUGGUCUGCCGGGGCAUAAGGGAGAAAAGGGCCACGUGGGUGUUCAGGGAGAACGAGGAAUAAUUGGAUUGCCAGGAUCAAAGGGUGAACCUGGGGAGAGAGGUGAAGAGGGGCCCAUGGGAUCAAAAGGACCUUCAGGUCAAAAAGGGGAACCAGGAACAACAGAGAUCAUAGACUAUGAUGGGAAAAUUCAGGAAGCACUAAAGGGAUCCCAAGGGCUGCCUGGACCUCCAGGUUCUCCAGGACCUCAAGGACAAAAGG